UGGGGAAUUUUGGACAAUGGGCGAAAGCCUGAUCCAGCAAUGCCGCGUGUGUGAAGAAGGCCUUCGGGUUGUAAAGCACUUUUGUCCGGAAAGAAAUCCUUGGCUCUAAUACAGUCGGGGGAUGACGGUACCGGAAGAAUAAGCACCGGCUAACUACGUGCCAGCAGCCGCGGUAAUACGUAGGGUGCAAGCGUUAAUCGGAAUUACUGGGCGUAAAGCGUGCGCAGGCGGUUUGCUAAGACCGAUGUGAAAUCCCCGGGCUCAACCUGGGAACUGCAUUGGUGACUGGCAGGCUAGAGUAUGGCAGAGGGGGGUAGAAUUCCACGUGUAGCAGUGAAAUGCGUAGAGAUGUGGAGGAAUACCGAUGGCGAAGGCAGCCCCCUGGGCCAAUACUGACGCUCAUGCACGAAGGCGUGGGGAGCAAACAGGAUUAGAUACCCUGGUAGUCCACGCCCUAAACGAUGUCAACUAGUUGUUGGGGAUUCAUUUCCUUAGUAACGUAGCUAACGCGUGAAGUUGACCGCCUGGGGAGUACGGUCGCAAGAUUAAAACUCAAAUGAAUUGACGGGGUCAUAGCUGUUUCCU
rnacentral:rRNA from 1 species